rnacentral:lncRNA from 1 species
GUAGUCAAGGUCCAGGGAGUAACUGGAUCAUUUCUAAAAUAUGAAACCAGCUUAUGUAAAAAGUGAGGAAAACACAUCUUAGACAUUGGCACGAUUGAAAAAAGCAUCCUUUAGUUUUAAGCCCUUUUUCCCUUUGUACCUAGGGGGCAAGAUGGGUAAAGAUUGAGGUACAAAUUAAGGUGAGUUUACAUUCGGCGAACUUAUAGGGGUAACGCACUAAACUACAAACCCUAUAAUGCAUAUAAAAAGUUUCUGGGAAAUGACGCUCCGGUGAUUUUCCCUCUUUAGGACGCUUCUCCCUCAUUUCUUCUACUUUUUUCCUUUUAGAAUUAAAUCUCCAACCUUUCCAGAGUGAACCUUUGGCUAUAUGUAGAGAAAGUGAAUACCGUAACUUUUUUUUUUUUUAAAUAAUCGUUUGUGCUAUGCGGAUACCCAGGACAACGCUGAUGAAAUAAUCCAUCUCCUUUGGAGUUAUUAGAAAUAGGAAUUACUAGCGCGAUGCUCUCUGGCAGCCCUUCGCACUCCGGGGGAACGGUGGCUGCAGCCGAGCCUCGCGCGCCUCCCUAACCCGGCUUCCGCGUGUUAACGUCCCGCACGCUCCGCGUGGCGCGCGACUGCGGCGCCCAAUCACGCAGGCAGGGCCGGCCCCGCCCACGGAGCGCUCAGGGCCCGCGCCGAGCGGCCUGCGAGCCACGGCGGGCUUCAGGCGGAGCCGAACGAACGGCGCCCGCCGCCGGCCGUUCCGGGCUGCGCGGCGCUGCCGGGCAGACUCAGGAGCGCCGCACGCCCUGCGAGCCCGCCCGCCCGUCCGGACCGCCUGCGCUCGUCCUCUCCACCCCACCGUUCCCGAGCUCGGGGAGGGCCCGCGGCUGCACAGUGGCGCUCCUCAGGGAACGGACGGGAAUUCCCCCUUCCACCGAACGUUCCGGAUUGUUCACCGUCCUCACGUCAGCAGCAGGGGGUAAUCCCCGGCUCCAGCUGCUCCUGACGUCACCGCGCCGAGACUCCGCCUCCCCGCCCCGCCCCCCGCUCUUCCCCCGCGCCAGGCCCAGCCUCCGGGUCCUCCUCAAAGCCCCGCCCCCGGUCUAGCCCCGCCCCUUCCUCUCCCCCAGGCGCCGACGUAGAGGGCGGAGCUUCCCUGACCUGGGGCGUGAGCUGCUACUUGGGCCAGAAGGUUCUGUGGUGGAGGCCCUCCUCCUCCGGCUCCGCCCAGUGGGUUCGUUUGCACCGCGGCUUCCGCACCCUUUCUUCCUCCUCUUUUCCCCUCGCCCCGCCUCCCUCCUCUUACUUCUCAACCUCUCCGCUGCGUCCCCCCUCCCUCGCCACCUUCCACGAUCUCGCGAGACUUGGCCCAGAACAUUGCGGAUCGGGUCGGCGCCAUUUUGGGACUGAGACUGGUUGUGGGGGAGGGAAAAGCGGCAAAAGGGGAUUAUUCAAAGUACCGAAAACCUCCUCCCGGGAUCGAGCGCAGCGGCACCCCCAGGCCAGGGGCACCUCUGGUGGGGCAGAAGGUGGUUGAAUUUGGCGUAUGAAGAUCAUCAUCUAGGUUUUGUUUAAAAGGCCCCGGAUAUUUCAAGUGGCCAUUUUGGAAUUACAGUUUUGUUUUUGUUUUGGGCAAUUUUGCUCCAGAAGUUCAUUAAAAUUGACAAGAAUCAUCUCUGAAGUGAAUUGAUAGUAGUGAACAAAUUCAACGAGCUACUAAAAGUCCCAGCCAUUUCUUCAGUAUUUUGGGUCAAACGGAUUAUAUAAGUGGUUAAAGCAUUUCAUCUGGUGUUAUUUUUGUCUCUUUCCCCUCUCCUGUUUGUGUUCUUCAGCCAAAACUGUAAGAUAUGUUUGAUUUGUGUACCAAGUAGUUUCAGCAGUUUCAAAUUACUGUUUAAAUAUUGCUGAAGUUUUGUGGCAGUUCUUUUUACCUUUAUUAAAAGUUUUAGUAAUUUUUGACUUCAGCUUUUUUCAUAUUACAAUGGGACAGCUUUUCUAAAUGAAGACAUUGAAAGAAUACAGCGUUUUUUUCUUUUUAUCUUUUAUUUACUUGGGAAUGUAAGAUGUUCCAUUUUCACACCAGCAUGGUAGUAUUGAGAUAGCUAUUUGUCUAUACACGCUGAUGUUUAGAAGUAAUCUUCAGAUGUGAAAUUUUUCUUUUUGUUUCUGCUUUUUGGCACAUAAAUUGGCUAUUUCUUCUGGAGUGGAUAAGUACAACAGUGACAAGUACAUGGAACAGUAAAGAAGACCUUGCUCUUAAAUCCAAGGAACCUGGCUAACUCUGGAUCUGACCAUAUGAAAACUUCAAAGUAAAUAUGGGUAGCUGACUUCAAGUAACUCUAUGUCAAAUAGUCAUAGGUUAAGUAUCUUCAAAGAACUUGGAUAUUUCAGAGGAUACAAAAUAAAAAAACAAACUGGAAAACA